GACGAACGCUGGCGGCGUGCUUAACACAUGCAAGUCAAACGGAAGGGCCCUGCUUUUGUGGGGUGCUCGAGUGGCGAACGGGUGAGUAACACGUGAGUAACCUGCCCUUGACUUUGGGAUAACUUCAGGAAACUGGGGCUAAUACCGGAUAGGAGCUCCUGCUGCAUGGUGGGGGUUGGAAAGUUUCGGCGGUUGGGGAUGGACUCGCGGCUUAUCAGCUUGUUGGUGGGGUAGUGGCUUACCAAGGCUUUGACGGGUAGCCGGCCUGAGAGGGUGACCGGCCACAUUGGGACUGAGAUACGGCCCAGACUCCUACGGGAGGCAGCAGUGGGGAAUAUUGCACAAUGGGCGGAAGCCUGAUGCAGCAACGCCGCGUGCGGGAUGACGGCCUUCGGGUUGUAAACCGCUUUCGCCUGUGACGAAGCGUGAGUGACGGUAAUGGGUAAAGAAGCACCGGCUAACUACGUG
rnacentral:rRNA from 1 species